AGCCCGGUAUCUCUUCUGCCUCUGUGCUAUAGAGCUCCAUUGUUUUCAAAAACUAUUAAAAACCACAGAGUCACACUGUUACACUGUCACACUGUUACACAGUCACACUGUUACACUGUCACACUGUUACACAGUCACACUGUCACACUGUCACACAGUCACACUGUCACACUGUCACACAGUCACACUGUCACACUGUCACACUGUCACACAGUCACACUGUCACACAGUCACACAGUCACACUGUCACACAGUCACACAGUCACACUGUCACACUGUCACACAGUCACACUGUCACACUGUCACACAGUCACACUGUCACACUGUCACACUGUUACACAGUCACACUGUCACACUGUCACACUGUCACACAGUCACACUGUCACACUGUCACACUGUCACACAGUCACACUGUUACACAGUCACACUGUCACACUGUUACACAGUCACACUGUUACACAGUCACACUGUUACACAGUCACACUGUCACACUGUCACACAGUCACACUGUUACACAGUCACACUGUUACACUGUUACACAGUCACACUGUCUCACACUGUCACACUGUCACACAGUCACACUGUCACACUGUUACACAGUCACACUGUCACACAGUCACACUGUCACACAGUCACACUGUCACACUGUUACACAGUCACACUGUCACACUGUCACACUGUCACACAGUCACACUGUCACACAGUCACACUGUCACACAGUCACACUGUUACACAGUCACACUGUCACACUGUUACACAGUCACACUGUUACACAGUCACACUGUCACACUGUCACACUGUCACACUGUCACACAGUCACACUGUUACACUGUCACACUGUUACACAGUCACACUGUUACACUGUUACACAGUCACACUGUCUCACACUGUCACACUGUUACACAGUCACACUGUUACACUGUUACACAGUCACACUGUCUCACACUGUCACACUGUUACACUGUCACACAGUCACACUGUUACACAGUCACACUGUUACACAGUCACACUGUCACACUGUUACACAGUCACACAGUCACACUGUUACACAGUCACACUGUUACACAGUCACACUGUCACACUGUUACACAGUCACACUGUUACACAGUCACACUGUUACACUGUCACACUGUUACACUGUCACACUGUUACACAGUCACACUGUUACACAGUCACACAGUCACACAGUCACACUGUUACACAGUCACACUGUUACACAGUCACACUGUCACACAGUCACACUGUCACACAGUCACACUGUUACACUGUGUGAUGUGUUCCUUCAUUACCAUGAACACACACUGUAGUUUAUUUUGA
rnacentral:lncRNA from 1 species